GAUAGCAGUCAGUUCUGGGCCGAUUCUGGCUUUUUUCCGCCAGUGUCGGCUGAAAGCCGGACAGAUUUUUAGUGUAUGCGCCAGAACUGGCCCAGAUGAGGAAAUAGUAUACCAGUAGUAAACACUAUUUAUAGCUGUUGGCCCGAGUGUAAGCAUACUCAGCUGAAGUCCGGGUCUACUAAAGUAGCGUCUCAGUGUAAUCGGGCCAAAUCUGGCAUUGUGUAGUCGGACCGACUACGUUGCAUUGUGCCUGGACCGAUUAUGGUUUGAUAUGAUACUGCCAAGAUGUGUAUGAUGUCAGAAAUUCAGUAUGUGGCCCGAUACCAGUGGAACUGACACAUGCCGGUUGUAACGCUGUUUGGCGGCAAUUUAAAAAUGUUUAUGCUUCAGACGGACAGUAUACAGUACACGGCCCGAUUCCGUGAUGUGGCAAUCAGCCCUCUAGCUGUUGAACGGCAACAUCACCACUGCUGUUAUGAUUUGAAUCAAGCAGAGCACAAAGCUGAGCUCCCGUUCGACACAGACACCAUCAUCAAUAACUGGUUAACUGGUUGGGGCUUAUUGGCGGGACAGAUGUACGAGACUGCACAUGGCAUAUAUUGAAGAGGGCGACCGACAACUCCCUGGCUUAAAACCUCAACUGUAUGGAAAAGACUUUAUUUGCCACCCUCUAACUCAGAGAGGUAGUGAUUGAUGCAGUUCGGAGAAGGUCCCUUACAGUUGUGGAGGGGACAAUGAAGAGGUGGCUCGAUCGAGAGGGUGGGUGCAAGAGACAACUUUAGCAAAAGAAAAGCAGUUAGUGUUAGCGCCUGUGUUUGAGUCUGCAAAGGAGAAUGUUUUGUGCUGUAAAAAGAGUGGUGGUGUUUUGGUUAAAUGUGUUUAACUUGUUUUAAUUACUUGGCUUGUGUGUGAGAGGUGUGUGUGGGUUGGUAUAUGUGGUUUAUGGGGAAUAGUGUAUAAUGACAUGUUUAAUAUGCUAUAAACAUGCUUUACAGGGACACAAUACUAAGUGGUACUUUUUCAGAUUAAAGACUUCCAACAGAUUUUUGUUAUGGUUGGGCUUAGGGACUGAGGUAAGUUAAGGCAAUAGAAUAUACAGUUUGUACAGUAUAAAAUGCAUUGUGUCUAUGGAAUUGUCCCGGUAAACCACAUAUGCCAAUGUGUGUGUGUGGUGUGUGUAUGAGAGAGAAUUUUUUUCUUUAAAUGUUAAUUAAUUUGUUUUACAUGUUGUCUCGCUGUAAUUGCUUAAGGGGAUAAUUCACCCCAAAAUUGCAAUUUUAUCAUAAAUCACUUCCCCUCUGUCGUUCUAAACCAACAAGUGCUUAGAUUGUCUUUAGAACACGUUUUUAGAUAUUUUUGAUGAAAACUGGGAGGCUU